GACAGGUUAGAUCAGUUGGUUAGAGUGUGGUGUUGAUAACGCCAAGGUCACAGGUUUGAUCACCAGAUAGGUACCUGUUCCUGCAUCG